GACCGCGUCCGGGGAGGAAAGCCUUUGGGUUGUAAACCCCUUUUCUCAGGGAAGAAGAAAGUGACGGUACCUGAGGAAUCAGCCUCGGCUAACUCCGUGCCAGCAGCCGCGGUAAUACGGAGGAGGCAAGCGUUAUCCGGAAUGAUUGGGCGUAAAGCGUUCGUAGGUGGCAAUUCAAGUCUGCUGUCAAAGACAGUAGCUCAACUACUGCAAGGCAGUGGAAACUGAAUAGCUAGAGUGCGGUAGGGGCAGAGGGAAUUCCCGGUGUAGCGGUGAAAUGCGUAGAGAUCGGGAAGAACACCGGUGGCGAAAGCGCUCUGCUGGGCCGCAACUGACACUGAGGGACGAAAGCUAGGGGAGCGAAUGGGAUUAGAUACCCCAGUAGUC
rnacentral:rRNA from 1 species